rnacentral:rRNA from 1 species
GAUGAACGCUGGCGGCGUGCCUAAUACAUGCAAGUCGAGCGAACGGACGAGAAGCUUGCUUCUCUGAUGUUAGCGGCGGACGGGUGAGUAACACGUGGAUAACCUACCUAUAAGACUGGGAUAACUUCGGGAAACCGGAGCUAAUACCGGAUAAUAUUUUGAACCGCAUGGUUCAAAAGUGAAAGACGGUCUUGCUGUCACUUAUAGAUGGAUCCGCGCUGCAUUAGCUAGUUGGUAAGGUAACGGCUUACCAAGGCAACGAUGCAUAACCGACCUGAGAGGGUGAUCGGCCAAACUGGAACUGAGACACGGUCCAGACUCCUACGGGAGGCAGCAGUAGGGAAUCUUCCGCAAUGGGCGAAAGCCUGACGGAGCAACGCCGCGUGAGUGAUGAAGGUCUUCGGAUCGUAAAACUCUGUUAUUAGGGAAGAACAUAUGUGUAAGUAACUGUGCACAUCUUGACGGUACCUAAUCAGAAAGCCACGGCUAACUACGUG